CCCCAAAUUAUCUCUCUCCUGAAGUCCUCAACAAACAAGGACAUGGCUGUGAAUCAGACAUUUGGGCCCUGGGCUGUGUAAUGUAUACAAUGUUACUAGGGAGGCCCCCAUUUGAAACUACAAAUCUCAAAGAAACUUAUAGGUGCAUAAGGGAAGCAAGGUAUACAAUGCCGUCCUCAUUGCUGGCUCCUGCCAAGCACUUAAUUGCUAGUAUGUUGUCCAAAAACCCAGAGGAUCGUCCCAGUUUGGAUGACAUCAUUCGACAUGACUUUUUUUUGCAGGGCUUCACUCCGGACAGACUGUCUUCUAGCUGUUGUCAUACAGUUCCAGAUUUCCACUUAUCAAGCCCAGCUAAGAAUUUCUUUAAGAAAGCAGCUGCUGCUCUUUUUGGUGGCAAAAAAGACAAAGCAAGAUAUAUUGACACACAUAAUAGAGUGUCUAAAGAAGAUGAAGACAUCUACAAGCUUAGGCAUGAUUUGAAAAAGACUUCAAUAACUCAGCAACCCAGCAAACACAGGACAGAUGAGGAAGCUCCCAUGUUGUUUAAAGGCUGUAAUUGGAGCAGCUUUUGGCUGCGUAACUGUGAACUAUGGCCAUAUAUAAUUUUUUUUCAUUAAUUUUUGAAGAUACUUGUGGCUGGAAAAGUGCAUUCCUUGUUAAUAAACUUUUUAUUUAUUACAGCCCAAAGAGCAGUAUUUAUUAUCAAAAUGUCUUUUUUUUUAUGUUGACCAUUUUAAACCGUUGGCAAUAAAGAGUAUGAAAACGCAG
rnacentral:lncRNA from 1 species